GAUGAACGCUGGCGGCGUGCCUAAUACAUGCAAGUCGAGCGAACGGACGAGAAGCUUGCUUCUCUGAUGUUAGCGGCGGACGGGUGAGUAACACGUGGAUAACCUACCGAUAAGACUGGGAUAACUUCGGGAAACCGGAGCUAAUACCGGAUAAUAUUUUGAACCGGAUGGUUCUAAAGUGAAAGACGGUUCUGCUGUCACUUAUAGAUGGAUCCGCGCUGCAUUAGCUAGUUGGUAAGGUAACGGCUUACCAAGGCAACGAUGCAUAGCCGACCUGAGAGGGUGAUCGGCCACACUGGAACUGAGACACGGUCCAGACUCCUACGGGAGGCAGCAGUAGGGAAUCUUCCGCAAUGGGCGAAAGCCUGACGGAGCAACGCCGCGUGAGUGAUGAAGGUCUUCGGAUCGUAAAACUCUGUUAUUAGGGAAGAACAUAUGUGUAAGUAACUGUGCACAUCUUGACGGUACCUAAUCAGAAAGCCACGGCUAACUACGUG
rnacentral:rRNA from 1 species